UUUUGAGGGUAGAAAGAAAGUUUUCAGAAGACAAAAGAAAAGAGAAAAGAAAUGAGGGAACAAGAAUAUUCAGAGAACUUGGAAGCAAAUGGAUAAAAAUCAGGAAACAAAAUGGAUUAAACUGAAUCUAAAGGUCAUGUGAUCAGCAGACUAAGCAGAGAUGCCCAGACCUCCCCUUUCUCCACAUCCAAUUCUUCAUGGGUGAUGACCAAGGCAGCCGACAGCGUAUACAGCAAAAGGAUCCAUCCACGAGUGUCUCAAAAGCUAGCACACCGAAAGGAAAUUACACUGUUUACUUUUCUGCCCUUCAAAUAGGACAAUGACCCCAAACACACCUCCAGGCUGUGUGACCGAGAAGGAGAGUGAUGGAGUGCUGCGCCUUAUGGCCUGGCCUCCACAGUGACCUGACCUAAACCCAGUGGAGAUGGUUUGGGAUGAGAUGGAGC
ensembl:lncRNA